GAGUUGUGCUGGUAAGCACUGUGGAUUGUUAACUCUCCAAGCCGGAUAACUCCUGUCAUCAGGCUGUGCUGAAUUUAUUCGCUCCCUUGUUAGGAACUAGAUCGGUGCUGAAGGCGAUCCAGAGGCACGCUGGCAAUUCAAGCCAUUCCCGGCUCUUCUCGUCCUUCCCUGGAUGCGUUCAGAAGGACAUCUUGUGGCUGCCCUGAGAUUGUUGUCAGCUUUAGAGAAGAAAGGAGGGUGAUCAACUAAGCAGAACAACACAAGUUCUCCUAGCACCAGGCCAGCAUAAAGGGCAUGCUGAAUUUUGGAACUAAACAUCACAAGUGCAGCCACAAAUGAGAGCAGCCAGUAAAUCAAUAGGACCCCUGAAGACUGGA